UACGUAGGGGGCUAGCGUUGUCCGGAAUCAUUGGGCGUAAAGGGCGCGUAGGCGGCUUGGCAAGUGGAAGGUGAAAUCCCUCGGCUUAACCGAGGAACUGCCCUCCAAACUGCUUUGCUUGAGGCCGGGAGAGGUGAGUGGAAUUCCCAGUGUAGCGGUGAAAUGCGUAGAUAUUGGGAGGAACACCAGUGGCGAGGGCGGCUCACUGGACCGGUUCUGACGCUGAGGCGCGAAAGCGUGGGGAGCAAACGGG
rnacentral:rRNA from 1 species